UUUUUAGUAACUCCUGCUCAAUGAAAUUUCAAUAGCCGCAGUCACCUGUGCUAAGGUAGCAUAAUCAUUUGCCUAAUAAUUAUAGGAUAGAAUGAAAGGAAGCACAUGUUAACUUCUUUAUUAAAAAGAUUUUUUUAACUUAACUAAUAAGUAAAAAGUUCUUAUUUAUCAUAGGUGGACGACAAGACCCUAUCAAACUUCACAAUUAUGUUUAGCUGGGGCGGCAAGAAAUUAUAUCUUUCUCUUUAAUUUUCACAAUAACCUAAUUUUUGAUCUACUAAUGUUACUGUAGGGAUAACAGCAUUAUUUUCCCUAAAAGAUCUUAUAUAAGGGAAAGUUUUUGACCUCGAUGUUGAAUUAAUAUUCUCCUAGGAGUAACCUCUUAAAAAGAAAGUCUGUUCGACUUUUAAACCUUU
rnacentral:rRNA from 1 species